GAAAUGGCCCUUUUCAGGGCCACAAAACCCUAUCACGACGGAAAAG
rfam:Oryctes borbonicus contig18968, whole genome shotgun sequence.